rnacentral:rRNA from 1 species
UACGAAGGGGGCUAGCGUUGCUCGGAAUCACUGGGCGUAAAGGGUGCGUAGGCGGGGCUUUAAGUCAGGGGGGAAAUCCUGGAGCUCAACUCCAGAACUGCCUUUGAUACUGAAGAUCUUGAGUUCGGGAGAGGUGAGUGGAACUGCGAGUGUAGAGGUGAAAUUCGUAGAUAUUCGCAAGAACACCAGUGGCGAAGGCGAGUCCCUGGACAACACCUGACACUGAGGCACGAAAGCUAGGGGAGCAAACAGG